UCAAAGAUGGCGAAAAUUCAGCGUGGGAAUUCAGGGGCCCCAAAUGGUAAACAAAAAAGUAAGAAAAUGGCAGAAAAUACACAUUUAGGAAUCGCUUCCAGUGAAGAGGAUGACGAUGAGGCCCCCGAAGAGGUGACAUUCGAAGAUUCUAAAGCGGCGGCAUUACGGAGUAUGAGAGAAGCCAUUGAUACAGCAAGAAGGUGGCUGCAGUAAUAACUUGAGUUGGCUAGCAUCUUAUAAGUCACAUUUGUUUUUCGAUACGAUAGUUGGCUAGGUGGCAACUAUUAUUAAUCGAUAUUUGAUUUGCAGAGAAAAAAUACUUAAUUAAGGAAAAGCGAAGAAAGAGGCAGGAACUGUUCCAGGAACAAAAGAAAAGAAAGCUUCUCCCUGAUGACAUCCUGGAGGAAAUAGACUCUACUGUACCAAAGAAGCCCAAGGUAUCCAAAGCUCAAGUUGAAAAAGCAGGUGAUGGAGAGGAGAGUUGAGGAGCGAGGGAUCAGAUGCAGAUGAGGUAGAACAAAAGGGGGAGGAGAAGAAGAAGAAGAAGAAGAAGAAGAGGUGAAAGAGACGGAGUUUGAAGGGGAACUGUAGCGUUAUGAGACUGAAGGACCAGUCUCUAUCCAGCAAGCAGCAGCAGAGCGCUCUCGAUUUCAUCCAGUCCCGUCUGUAUGGCCUGGGGACCAACAGAACCACAGCUUUUUUCACUGGAAAACAAGAGGGCCUUGAACAAAAGCGCAGCUGUGCAGUUUGUGGACAAGCAGUGGGGUGCAGAGAAGAAAGAGGAGGCAGAGAAGUUCAAACAGAGGUGGAAGAACAAGCAGGGGGUGGGGCAGAGCUGAGGGCAGGGGCGGGGCCACUGCAGGAAUGACC